GAGGAUAUAGCUCAAGUGGUAGAGUGUGUGCUUAGCAUGCACAAGGUCUUGGGUUUGAUCCCCGGUACCUCCU
rfam:Camelus ferus unplaced genomic scaffold scaffold556, whole genome shotgun sequence.